rnacentral:rRNA from 1 species
GGGCACUCUAAGGAGACUGCCGGUGACAAACCGGAGGAAGUGGGGAUGACGUCAAGUCAUCAUGGCCCUUACGGCCUGGGCUACACACGUGCUACAAUGGUCGGUACAAAGGGUUGCCAAGCCGCGAGGUGGAGCUAAUCCCAUAAAACCGAUCGUAGUCCGGAUCGCGGUCUGCAACUCGACUGCGUGAAGUCGGAAUCGCUAGUAAUCGUGAAUCAGAAUGUCACGGUGAAUACGUUCCCGGGCCUU